CUUCUCUGUAGCAAUACAGGGUAGCUUCUAGUGGCGCACGGGUGAGUAACACGUGGGCAACCUGCCCUUGAGUUCGGGAUACCCUCUCGAAAGGGAGGCUAAUACCGGAUACGUUCCUCAGAUCGCAAGGUCUGGGGAGGAAAGGUAGCGAAAGCUGCCGCUCUUGGAGGGGCUCGCGGCCUAUCAGCUAGUUGGUGGGGUCACAGCUCACCAAGGCUAUGACGGGUAGCUGGUCUGAGAGGACGACCAGCCACACGGGAACUGAGACACGGUCCCGACUCCUACGGGAGGCAGCAGUGGGGAAUUUUCCGCAAUGGGCGAAAGCCUGACGGAGUGACGCCGCGUGGGGGACGAAGGCCUUCGGGUUGUAAACCCCUGUCAGAGGGAAAGAAGGGUUCCGGCGUGAAUAGCGUCGGGAUUUGACGGUACCUUCAGAGGAAGCCCCGGCCAACUCUGUGCCAGCAGCCGCGGUAAGACAGAGGGGGCAAGCGUUGCUCGGAAUCACUGGGCGUAAAGGGCGCGUAGGCGGGAUGGCAAGUCGGUCGUGAAAUCCCUGGGCUCAACUCAGGGGGGUCGGCCGAUACUGCCGUUCUUGAGGGAUGCAGAGGAGACUGGAAUUCCCGGUGUAGCGGUGAAAUGUGUAGAGAUCGGGAGGAACACCGGUGGCGAAGGCGGGUCUCUGGGCAUUUCCUGACGCUGAGGCGCGAAAGCGUGGGGA
rnacentral:rRNA from 1 species